rnacentral:rRNA from 1 species
GAUGAACGCUAGCGGCAGGCCUAACACAUGCAAGUCGAGGGGUAACAGGGAAGCUUGCUUCCGCUGACGACCGGCGCACGGGUGCGUAACACGUAUACAACUUACCUUUAACAGGGGGAUAGCCCGAAGAAAUUCGGAUUAUACCCCAUAACAAUGAGAAUUCGCAUGUUUUCUCGUUUAAAGCUCCGGCGGUUAAAGAUGGGUAUGCGUCCUAUUAGUUAGUUGGUGAGGUAAUGGCUCACCAAGACUUCGAUAGGUAGGGGUUCUGAGAGGAUGAUCCCCCACACUGGUACUGAGACACGGACCAGACUCCUACGGGAGGCAGCAGUGAGGAAUAUUGGACAAUGGACGCAAGUCUGAUCCAGCCAUGCCGCGUGAAGGAUGACUGCCCUCUGGGUUGUAAACUUCUUUUAUAUGGGAAUAAACCCCCCGACGUGUCGGGGGCUGAAUGUACCAUACGAAUAAGCACCGGCUAACUCCGUGCCAGCAGCCGCGGUAAUACGGAGGGUGCAAGCGUUAUCCGGAUUUAUUGGGUUUAAAGGGUCCGUAGGUGGGAUUGUAAGUCAGUGGUGAGAUCUUCCGGCUCAACCGGAAAACUGCCAUUGAUACUGC